rnacentral:rRNA from 1 species
UACGAAGGGGGCUAGCGUUGUUCGGAAUUACUGGGCGUAAAGCGCACGUAGGCGGAUAUUUAAGUCAGGGGUGAAAUCCCCAGAGCUCAACUCUGGAACUGCCUUUGAUACUGGGUAUCUCGAGUAUGGAAGAGGUGAGUGGAAUUCCGAGUGUAGAGGUGAAAUUCGUAGAUAUUCGGAGGAACACCAGUGGCGAAGGCGGCUCACUGGUCCAUUACUGACGCUGAGGUGCGAAAGCGUGGGGAGCAAACAGG